GUGCAGGGGGGUGUUUUUUCUGAAUUAAAAAUUAACCUGAUUUGUGGGGAAGAUCUUAGCGUGCCUGGUUUGCAAUAGUUUGGAGCUGUGCCUGAGCCAGGAGCUAGAAUUCCAGAAAGGCCCUGAAGGUGUUGGAAGGCCACACAUGAUUCCACUCAGCGGCAGUCCCAGCAUCUCUUCUCUGCCUGAAGUCUGGAGUGGGAUCUCCAGCCAUCCUGGGAGAUGACAUUCCACUGGGCAUCCGUGGGACUUCCACACUUCUAAUGACUGAAACACCUUCAGAAAUCCCAUCCUUAGCAUUCCUCAUUGCUGUCUCGUCUCCAGAAGUGCUUAGCAGCUUUGCUUGGGCUUUAUUGCUGGAUAUCACUCGGAUGAAAUCUUCUGAAUCUCCUCUCUUAAUGAUGAAUAUUUUUCAGUCACUCCUUUGGUUUAGAACAUCUGUGGAAGCCUUCAGUGAUGUUCUUCCAUCCAAGUGGCUGCUGAUAAAGAUAAGG